rnacentral:rRNA from 1 species
UACGUAGGGUGCGAGCGUUGUCCGGAAUUACUGGGCGUAAAGAGCUCGUAGGUGGUUUGUCGCGUUGUUCGUGAAAACUCACGGCUUAACUGUGAGCGUGCGGGCGAUACGGGCAGACUGGAGUACUGCAGGGGGAGACUGGAAUUCCUGGUGUAGCGGUGGAAAUGCGCAGAUAUCAGGAGGAACACCGGUGGCGAAGGCGGGGUCUCUGGGCAGUAACUGACGCUGAGGGAGCGAAAAAGCGUGGGGGAGCGAAC